rnacentral:rRNA from 1 species
CACGUAGGGUGCGAGCGUUGUCCGGAAUUAUUGGGCGUAAAGAGCUCGUAGGCGGUGUGUCGCGUCGGCCGUGAAAACCUGCAGCUUAACUGUGGGCUUGCGGUCGAUACGGGCAUCACUGGAGUUCGGCAGGGGAGACUGGAAUUCCUGGUGUAGCGGUGAAAUGCGCAGAUAUCAGGAGGAACACCGGUGGCGAAGGCGGGUCUCUGGGCCGAUACUGACGCUGAGGAGCGAGAGCGUGGGGAGCAAACGGG